AGAGUUUGAUCCUGGCUCAGAAUCAACGCUGGCGGCGUGCCUAACACAUGCAAGUCGAACGAGAAAGUGGAGCAAUCCAUGAGUAAAGUGGCGCACGGGUGAGUAACACGUGACUAACCUACCCUUGAGUGGGGGAUAACCUAGGGAAACCUGGGCUAAUACCGCAUAAUACCUUCGGGUCAAAGGAGCAAUUCGCUUAAGGAGGGGGUCGCGGCCGAUUAGUUAGUUGGCGGGGUAAUGGCCCACCAAGACGAUGAUCGGUAUCCGGCCUGAGAGGGCGCACGGACACACUGGAACUGAAACACGGUCCAGACUCCUACGGGAGGCAGCAGUGGGGAAUUUUGCGCAAUGGGGGAAACCCUGACGCAGCAACGCCGCGUGGAGGAUGAAGUCCCUUGGGACGUAAACUCCUUUCGAUCGGGACG
rnacentral:rRNA from 1 species